rnacentral:rRNA from 1 species
GACGAACGCUGGCGGCGCGCCUAACACAUGCAAGUCGAGCGAAGCGGCGAACGGGUGAGUAACGCGUGAGGAACCUGCCUCUCACAACGGGAUAGCCACGGGAAACCGGGAUUAAUACCGAAUGGUGAGAGAUGGCCUCGCGUCUGAUUAGUUAGUUGGGGGGGUAACGGCCUACAAAGACGACGAUCAGCAACCGGCCUUGGGAGGUGACCGGUCACCUUGUAGCUGAGACACGGUCCAAACUCCUACGGGAGGCAGAAGUUGGGAAUCUUGCACAAUGGGGGGAACCCUGAUGCCGCGACGCCGCGUGGGCGAUGAAGGUUUUCGAAUCGUACAGCUCUGGCCUAUGGGAAGCGGUACCAUAGGAGGAAGCCCCGGCUAACUACGUGCCAGCAGCCGCGGUAAUAC